GGGGAAUAUUGGACAAUGGGCGGAAGCCUGAUCCAGCAACGCCGCGUGAGGGAUGACGGCCUUCGGGUUGUAAACCUCUUUCAGUACCGACGAAGCGCAAGUGACGGUAGGUACAGAAGAAGCACCGGCCAAC
rnacentral:rRNA from 1 species